UCUCUGAUGGGCCAGUGGUUAAGACUCUGCCCUGCCAAUGCAGGGAGUGCAAGUUUGAUCCCUGCUCAGGGAA
rnacentral:tRNA from 1 species